rnacentral:lncRNA from 1 species
CCCCCUCCAGGUACCGAGGAGGCUUUCUUCUUUUAACCCUGAGCACUCUCACAAGGGUCUUCCCACGAGACUGUAGGGAACUUAGCAGGUAAAUCUGCACGAGUGAAGGCCCCCAGGUGUCUGCGUGUCGGCAGGGCUGUACUCCACAUCCAUUUGGCAGUGCUUCGAUUCUUGGAAUGCCACAGGUUUUGGGCAGCUGCUGACCUCCUCAACGCAAUUAAACAAGGCUGGCAGUGGAUGCUGUCCCGGACUGAGAGGACCGUUCCUCAUAUUGUGUGGUUGUGGUCUGAGCAUCUUGGGAGUGGGAAGCUCUGGUUACCCAGAAAGAAGGACCCAGGCUGCCGGGCUGAGGGGCAGGAGCAUGCGCACAGGCCUUACCUAUGAAAAGUUUUGUGUUCCAGCUGACUUCCUCCAAGAGAGCUGCCAAUGUGCUUUUUCAUCAGGACUACGUGAAACACCUGAGUUCACUGGGACUGCAGGAAAACUGUCUCAGAGACAAAGAUACACAGCCUCCCUGGAUUGCUGGCUACAUGCCUGAUCUGAGGCAGGACCUAGGAAUCUUUUCCUGAAAUUAACGCGAAUUCAGGAGGUUUGUGUUUUAAGAACUGCACCCAGUCCUGUGAAAGCAGAGAUCGUCAGGGAGUACAAAGGCUGCAGUGCAACCUGUUGGUGCUUUAUGAAGUUGUUUUAGCAUGCUCCGUUGAGCUCUACGCUUACCUGCAUCAGAGAGAGGAACAGAGCAGUAGUAAGACGUUUUGGAGGCUGGCACCAACAGAGGGAAGAAUUAAAUAACGCUGUUGCAAAGGAUGGAAAAGGCUCAGAGGUGAUGCGAUGGCUCCAGGGGUGCUGACCUAUUCUUGCCCCAUGUGGGGCUGCUGAGCAUCGUGCAGCUCUUGGUGCUGCUGCUGUGUGCACUCAGGUGCCAGCUCUGCCAAACCUUCUGCUGUCCUGUCCUCAUACCAUGUGUCCUCAUCAAAAAAAAAAAACAGUGCAGCAAAACACAACAAGCAGUGUUAAAAAUGUGUUGCAGAUGUGGUAGUAACUCCCGGUUGCAAUAGGCAGAUGACUGUUUUUUCCUUGUUUCUGUCCUAAUAUUGGGUCCAGCUGAGACCAGGGUUUUACAUGUAACUACAGUGUCCCUGCCCUGCAGGUCAGGCACUGGUGAAACACAUGUCUGAAGAGAUGAAGAAACUUGUUCGGCAGCACGUGGUGCAGUCAGCGCCCUUCCCGUCUCCCAGAACCCCAACGCAUGGAGGCAGAACCAUCCUGUAGUUCUCUGCCACAGAGAUCAUUUUGCUCUCAGACCUUCUGCUGACCCUGAACGACUUUUGUUCUUUGAGAGCUCUUUUAUUUCUCUCCUUCUCUCUCUCUCUCCCCUCUUUUUUUCUGUUGUUGCUCAUAUUUUCCCCUCUCAUUAAUUAUACAGAUGUGCUGGGGGCCAUGUGCUUUGCCACAUCACAAAGGAAACCACAGGACUUCAGAUCAGAGGAUCUGCCAGAUGUCCUCGCCUGGCAGAGCACCGUGUGAGGGUCAUGGCUACAAGAGCAGGCUUGUCUGCAUCCAUGGGGCACAGCGGGGACAGCACCCAGCAAAGGGGCCACAUAGGAAACAAGCUUAGUGCAAGCACAGAGUAAGAGCUUUGGAUUACUUGAGUUCACUGCUGGGGUCUUUUUUCCCCCUUUAUUUGAGGCACUAACCCCCAGGAUUCCUUAAGACCACAGCUGCUCAUCUGUGCUUUGGUUGAACAUCACCUUAUUUCCUGACGAGCCCUUUGCCCCUUGGUGCAGUUUGCAAUUUCAAGUCCAGAACUCAGACCUUCAGGACUGCUCCUGCUUGGGAAAAUGUGCUGUUUGUGCGUGGUUCACUUUGUUCUUAUGUAGUCCAUUCUUUGGAGUGUCAGUAAGAGUUAUUAAAGGCAAUGGCUUUGAAGCGAUUGUUUUCUUCAGGUACCCACUCAGGACCAGGCUGUACGUUGUCUCCUUUGGCAGUGUCUCCAGCAGUCUGCUAGGGAGGCUUUUUCUUUUGAACUUGUAGAAAUGGCAGAGAAAAAUGGUUGGUUUCAUGUUUGGGACUAUGCUUAUUUAUCUUUUCUGCCUUCAGAAGGGUGACUCAAGAUUUAUUUUUUGCUGAGGGAAAUGGGUCCCAGCAAGGCCUCUGCAAGAAUGGCCUGAGAGUACAGGUCCCAUAUACGGAGGGGCAGGGAGAGGGAAGAAAGCCCCUGUGCUAUUUCUCUCUCUCAAAAGAAACACAAAGGGGAAAGCCAGCCACUACAUAUCCAGCUGUUAUCUCUGAUCUUGCUGCUAUUCUUUAACUAUUUUCUUUCACGUUAUUGAGAUUUGUGAUCAGCAGACACAUGGUUAACACAGGAGUAUAAAGUUUCCUUUCUGUCACUGGUCUCUGGGUCCAGAUUUCCACUCUGGUAAAAGCAGAAAUCGACAUCAAAAUAACACUUGGGUUUGUGCCCCUGUGCUUCUGGCUCUGGACCAAGCUUAUCCCAGGCUUAGCUGGAUAAUGCUAUAUUCAAACAUCACCAACAGACACCCAGUGUGUAGGAGGUCUUUGACACAGGACUGAAGGAUCCAUAGCAAUUCAGGCAUCCUUGGAAACUGUGCUCUCCUUCCCCUUAAGGCUGAUGACUUUGUCCUUAGUUAUAUUUGUCCGAGGUUUCCAUUAAACAGAUUAUAAUUCCAAAUUCUUAACUUUUAAGGUAAACGGGAAUGGCUCAUGGCAAAUGGAUUUGCAAACCCAACUAAUGCAUGUAAAUACAGGAUACCAAUUUCAACUAUUUGAUACAUUCACUCUGCCCAAAACAAGUUAAAACGAACGUGAAAUUUCAAUAGUCAAAAAAGCAAGGUGCAAAAUACGUGGCUAUUAUUGUUUUAUAACUGUCUACAAGCGUUCCACAAUUUUUGAGUGAGUGGAAAAUGGGUAUCUGGGUUAGUUUCUUGCUGCUCUUGGAUAUUCCAUUGGUGUCUUUUGCUGCUGAACACAGGAUAAAUAAAGAUCAAUCCCCUAUCGUC